rnacentral:rRNA from 1 species
UACGGGGGGGGCAAGCGUUGUUCGGAAUUACUGGGCGUAAAGGGCGCGUAGGCGGCGCCGCAAGUCGGUUGUGAAAUCUCUGGGCUUAACCCGGAAAGGUCAACCGAUACUGCGGGGCUAGAGUGCAGAAGGGGCAACUGGAAUUCUCGGUGUAGCGGUGAAAUGCGUAGAUAUCGAGAGGAACACCUGCGGCGAAGGCGGGUUGCUGGGCUGACACUGACGCUGAAGCGCGAAAGCUAGGGGAGCAAACGGG